AUACAAUGCUUAUUCAAAGUUCGAGCAAACAAGGCCGAGAUCGGCUCCCAACAACGUUUUAAGUCAAAGACAGAAAAAAAGAUUCUAAAAAGGAGCCCUAUUGAUUUCUUUGUAGAGAUACAUCGAAGUUGCGUUACGGCAGUACUUGUAUUUUAAGCAGUGGUGUGUGACACGACAAAGCACGCGGUUGUUUCUCGUUUGUCUGCGCGUGUCCUAUUUUUUCGGAAACAAAAUGCUACAUCGGACUAUCUUCUCGGCGAGAUCUGUGUCUGUUUUUCUCGGAACUACACUACUGUUUUAUGUUGCUUUAAUUGGUACCGUUAUGGACCAGCUGAAGCUGAGCAAACUCAGGGUCAACUUCACGGAACUCCACGGGCUAGUUUUUCGAAAGUUUUCUGAUCGAUGAUCUUCUGGCGAUUACAUUUUAAAAGUCUACAAAUUACCAAAAGGCACUGGAAGAACUUUAAUGGACAAAUGCAUGCAGAAGUCGGUAUAUAUAGACAUAGAAAAAGAGAAAUAGACAGAGACAGACAGAAAGCCAGACGGACGAAUUAGGUAGAGAUAUAGAGAUAAAUAUAUACAUCUAUUGUAGUACUAAAAUAUAAACCCCUUUUAAAUAUUUAUAAUGAACUGUAUAUGGUCACUUAACCCGGCAACACUUGACACAGGAAGAAGUAAAUAUGGUCUUAUGAUUUUAUCAGCCACAAACUUUAUUAAUCAGCGACAACGAAGAAUCGUGAAUUGAGUUGUGUUUGUUUAACCUCUCUAAGGAAACUUCUUAUCCACAAAAUUACUGUGAAGAUGUU
rnacentral:misc_RNA from 1 species